GGGUGCGAUCAUACCAGCACUAGUGCACCGGAUCCCAUCAAAACUAUGCGGUUAAGCGUGCUUGCGCGAAAGUAGUACUAGGAUGGGUGGGCUCCUGGGAAGUCCUCGUGUUGCAUCCU
rfam:Beta vulgaris subsp. vulgaris contig129436.1, whole genome shotgun sequence.